CCUACGGGUGGCAGCAGUGAGGAAUAUUGGUCAAUGGGCGCGAGCCUGAACCAGCCAAGUAGCGUGAAGGAUGACUGCCCUACGGGUUGUAAACUUCUUUUAUAAAGGAAUAAAGUGAGGCACGUGUGCCUUUUUGUAUGUACUUUAUGAAUAACGAUCGGCUAACUCCGUGCAAGCAGCCGCGGUAAUACGGAGGAUCCGAGCGUUAUCCGGAUUUAUUGGGUUUUAAGGGAGCGUAGAUGGGUUGUUAAAUCAGUUGUGAAAGUUUGCGGCUCAACCAUAAAAUUGCAAGUGAAACUGGCAGCCUUGAGUACAGUUGAGGUAUGCGGAAUUCGUGGUGUAGCGGUGAAAUGCUUAGAUAUCACGAAGAACUCCGAUUGCGAAGGCAGCCUACUAAACUGCCACUGACAUUGAUGCUCGAAAGUGUGGGUAUCAAACAGGAUUAGAUACCCUGGUAGUC
rnacentral:rRNA from 1 species